rnacentral:rRNA from 1 species
GUGGGGAAUAUUGGACAAUGGGCGCAAGCCUGAUCCAGCCAUGCCGCGUGAGUGAUGAAGGCCUUAGGGUUGUAAAGCUCUUUCACCGGUGAAGAUAAUGACGGUAACCGGAGAAGAAGCCCCGGCUAACUUCGUGCCAGCAGCCGCGGUAAUACGAAGGGGGCUAGCGUUGUUCGGAAUUACUGGGCGUAAAGCGCACGUAGGCUGAUAUUUAAGUCAGGGGUGAAAUCCCGGGGCUCAACCCCGGAACUGCCUUUGAUACUGGGUAUCUUGAGUAUGGAAGAGGUCAGUGGAAUUGCGAGUGUAGAGGUGAAAUUCGUAGAUAUUCGCAGGAACACCAGUGGCGAAGGCGGCUGACUGGUCCAUUACUGACGCUGAGGUGCGAAAGCGUGGGGAGCAAACAGGAUUAGAAACCCUAGUAGUCC